rnacentral:rRNA from 1 species
GACGAACGCUGGCGGCGUGCUUAACACAUGCAAGUCGAGCGGUAAGGCCCUUCGGGGUACACGAGCGGCGAACGGGUGAGUAACACGUGGGUAACCUGCCCUGUACUCUGGGAUAAGCCUUGGAAACGAGGUCUAAUACCGGAUACGACCAUUGAUCGCAUGAUCGGGGGUGGAAAGUUCCGGCGGUAUGGGAUGGACCCGCGGCCUAUCAGCUUGUUGGUGGGGUAAUGGCCUACCAAGGCGACGACGGGUAGCCGGCCUGAGAGGGUGACCGGCCACACUGGGACUGAGACACGGCCCAGACUCCUACGGGAGGCAGCAGUGGGGAAUAUUGCACAAUGGGCGAAAGCCUGAUGCAGCGACGCCGCGUGAGGGAUGACGGCCUUCGGGUUGUAAACCUCUUUCAGCAGGGACGAAGCGCAAGUGACGGUACCUGCAGAAGAAGCACCGGCUAACUACGUGCCAGCCGCCGCCGUAACAC